GGGGGUCAAAUUUAGAGUUAAAGUGGCGUAACAAGAAAGAAAGAAUAACCUUUGACCUUUAACCAACCCUUUAUUGGUCCAAUUCUUCAUUUACAAUAAACGAACAUAAAGAGAUUAACCGUAUAUAUCACCCGAUCACGUAUUUACACCCUCCACCUCAAAAAAACAACAACAACAACACAAUAAUAAAUAAAUAAGCAAACAAACAAAUUUUCUCAUUGUUUUCAGAAGCUGAGAAUAAGUGAUUCACUAGCUAUUCUACACAAAACAUCUUCAACUCCCCAAAUGGAGAUAAACUCCUCCAAGUCUGACACCAUUUUAUAAUAGAUGGACAAUGAUGGAAACUCAAACGAUGUAACCAGUUGAUCCUCUGUAGACUCCGUCCCCAACGCCUCUCUAAAAAGACCAGAAAGCCCACCCUUCACUUCCUCCAACAGUCUUUCUAGAAGGCGCAAUGACUUAUUCCCAGUGUCUUGACUCAACCUGGCGGCAGAUUUCCAUCACCCUGCCGACCUUAGUCCUGCCAGCUUCGUCAGCCCAGCUGUUAUAAAGACUUUUUGUAUACUGGCAGAACUUAGAGUCCUGCUCUGUAUGAGUGGGUUAUGAAACAGAGGUUCUUCCCCAACAUAACCAUAUAUCUGAGAGUAGUCUCUUUUUGCAUUUAAAACUGUUCUCCAAGCACGCAGGACCGACUGAUAAAAGCAAGAAGUGUUUGAUGUAUCUACACCAGCCAGAUCCAGAAGGAACAGAUGCUUGUUGUAGGUCAGGUUCUUCACUCUGUGAAGCAGCACAGAUGCUGUUUCAGUCCAGGGCUGCUGCUUAUGAUAAAGCAGACGCUGUGCAGUUUGGAGACGAAAUGUUGUAAUGCGACUCCUGAGAUCUAUCAGUCCCUGGCCCCCCUCUAACACAGUGUGUCUGGAGGUUCUACCACAGUGACCCGGUGCCAGAGCAUAGAGGCGGCCAAGUUGUUAACAACCAAAGUCCCUCCCCGUGUAGGACAACUGGGGCUGGAUCCACGUCCACCGAGCCAAUCGGGCACAGAUUUUUUUCCACUAGACCCUCCCAGUUUCUGUCCUGAAAAUCGUCAUUCCCUAGAAAGACACCUAAGACCUUCAUCCCUUCUCUGCUCCACUGCAGCCCAGCUGGUCAACCCUGAGAGACCCUGCCUGAGCUGAUGUAGGAGAGGCUCAAUAGCCAAAGCAUACAGCAUCCCAGAUAAGGGACAUCCCUGUCUGAUGCCUCUCUGGACGGGGACCGGUCGGCUGAGUCCUCCCCCCACUUUUAAUAAAACAGUGACUCCUGCAUACAGCAAUUUAAUACAAGAAAUAAACUUUUUUCCAAAACCAAAGGCAUCAAGUGUUUUGAACAAAUAAGAAUGAUCAACUCUAUCAAAAGCCUUUUCCUGGUCGAUAGAAAACAGUCCCACCUCCACCUCCUGUAGUUUAGUUCUGUAGUUCCUGUAGUUCCAUUAUUGUCCGUUCAGGAACACAGUAAG